rnacentral:other from 1 species
GCGGAAAGCGCCUAGCCAUGGCGUUAGUACGAGUGUCGUGCAGCCUCCAGGACCCCCCCUCCCGGGAGAGCCAUAGUGGUCUGCGGAACCGGUGAGUACACCGGAAUCGCUGGGGUGACCGGGUCCUUUCUUGGAGCAACCCGCUCAAUACCCAGAAAUUUGGGCGUGCCCCCGCGAGAUCACUAGCCGAGUAGUGUUGGGUCGCGAAAGGCCUUGUGGUACUGCCUGAUAGGGUGCUUGCGAGUGCCCCGGGAGGU